rnacentral:rRNA from 1 species
GACGAACGCUGGCGGCGUGCCUAAUACAUGCAAGUUGAGCGCUGAAGGUUGGUACUUGUACCAACUGGAUGAGCAGCGAACGGGUGAGUAACGCGUGGGGAAUCUGCCUUUGAGCGGGGGACAACAUUUGGAAACGAAUGCUAAUACCGCAUAAAAACUUUAAACACAAGUUUUAAGUUUGAAAGAUGCAAUUGCAUCACUCAAAGAUGAUCCCGCGUUGUAUUAGCUAGUUGGUGAGGUAAAGGCUCACCAAGGCGAUGAUACAUAGCCGACCUGAGAGGGUGAUCGGCCACAUUGGGACUGAGACACGGCCCAAACUCCUACGGGAGGCAGCAGUAGGGAAUCUUCGGCAAUGGACGAAAGUCUGACCGAGCAACGCCGCGUGAGUGAAGAAGGUUUUCGGAUCGUAAAACUCUGUUGGUAGAGAAGAACGUUGGUGAGAGUGGAAAGCUCAUCAAGUGACGGUAACUACCCAGAAAGGACGGCUAACUACGUG